GUUUCUCAAACCGUGCCUUCCCAUUUAUGCUGCAUCCGCGCCCUGAAUCUGAAAUUGGUCGUCCUGCCACGCCGCCUCACCGCGGUAUAAGGUCGUCCCAUCCUGAAUGGCCGGUGCGCAGACUCAAUUGCGACUUUGAGGCUGUCAGCCGCCACCCGGCAACCUUCCAGUGAACAGGAUUCUGGGUUUCUCAAAGCUGUAAUUGGAGGGCCACUCCAGAGGUGUUAAAGCUCCAGCACUUCGAGCCUGCCUCGUGGGAAAGUCUUAGGCUGAGUCUGUAGGUGUCUGCAGUUAAGAAGCCAGCGGUCUGCAUAUGAUUGCUCAGGGGUGGUGGCUGGGUCCAACAGCAUUCACUACAGGCCUGCCUUGAAUACCACCUAGCGCAGUGCUCCGCAUAUCACAGGGGCUGGAAACCUAACAAUUUCACUUCCUAGACAACUUGCUAAAAGUCACCUAAAGACAGUCUGGUUACUGCCAAAGAUAUGCUUUCAAAUAAGAUUUGGAUAAAGAAGGGAGGUAGAUGCCUUUUUUCAGCAGUGGAGUGAUGUCUAGACCAGUAGAUGUACGCAUCUAAGUGAAUUCAUCACCAGCAACAAUUUCCAGAAACUUCCUGACCUCCAGAUUGCAGCUUCAUUAGUG
rnacentral:lncRNA from 10 species